GCCAAACUUGAAGCAAGGGUGAAGAGGCCAGGUGGAAGAAUGAGAAGGGAAGGAGAACAAGGCACUAUGAUUGCUGGAAGCAACUAAUUUCAUCACUUCCACUAAUGGCUGAGAAUGGCAGGGAUCAAUUCUCUCAAGCAAUCAAGCAAACAAAUCUAGCCGUUAGAAUUGUUGUCAGUUGCUCGGUUGCUUCAUCAGCACUGCAGAUUGGGACAACUCUAUUAAGAAGUUGUCUCCAUAUAUAGUUUCUAAGUUGAGCAAUUCCAAUUUUUGAGUGUGAGGUGGGUAAACUUGCUGAACCUCAAUGUAGAACUCUACCUAUCCUCCUGGUCUGAAAAAAAAUGAUGCUUCAUUUGUACAAUUGAUACUGAUUUUUGGGGUCAAUGUAGCACUUUAUCUUCAUGUGGUUCUCGUAUAUUCGUAACCUUUGUGAAGGUAUAUAUUGUCCAUGUGAAUUGUUAUCAAAUGGGUUCUAGCCAAUUUGGAUGAGA